GGCAGGUGGAAGUGGGAAGGAAUUCCGUCACAGAUGCUGCUGGAUUCUGAGCCUUAGGCCCAACCCCGCAGGACCUUUCCUACCAACAAUGUGAUGAGGAUCAAACUCAAGACCGCCCUGAAACUGACAAAUUCAUUUUACAACUGAUUACAGAGCUACAGUAAUCAAGAUGGUGUGAAAUACAUACAGGAAUAGACAGAUAAGUGAAACAGUAGCAAGUCUAAAAAUACAUCUAUACACAGGAGGUGGGAUAAAAAUACGGAGAUGCAGACUGAAGCGUGGACAGGUUGUACUAGUCUUCUAGGACUGCCGAAACAAAGAAUAGCAAAAUGGGUGGCUGAGUACAACAGGAAUCUAUUCUCAUGGUUCCGGAGCCCAGAAGUCUGCAAUCAAGGGAUCUGCAGUGUGCCUACAGGCUCUGGGGGCGCAUCUACACAGUGCCUCUGCUCGCCUCCCGGUUGUGGGUGGUAAUCCUGUUUCUUGGUCAGAAGACCUGUCACUCAGUCUCGGCCUCCAUCGUCACCUGGUGAGCUCCCAUGUGCCAGAAUUUCCUUACAAGGACACCAGUCACUGGAUUAGGGCCUGCCCUACCCAGUAUAUGACCUCAUCAUAACGUGAUAACAUCUACAAAGAUCCUAUUUCCAAAUAAGGUCACACACGUGCAUCCUGGGGAUGUUAACUUUGGGUGUCAGUGUUCAGUCUAGCAUACAGGUUAAGGAGCAUGACAUCAGUAAUAUUCUUAAAACCGUUCAGCAGCGAUGUCUUCUCAAACCACAAUGGAAUCAAGCCGGAAGUCAGUAACAGAAAGGUAACGAAGCCUCCAAACACCUGGAAAUUAAAUAACUUGGGUUUCUAUA